CUCAGCGGCACUGGCUGCGGGUGGCAGGCUGGCUGGCUCCGCGGAGGAGGUGAAUGGAGCCGCAGGUAGCCCUGGAACAAAGCGGCUCCACUAGCGCGGCGCGCGUGCGCGGGGCCUGCCGCGCUUCCCCUAAGGAGUCAGGGCUGUCUGCGCUGGGGAGUCCGUCCCUGGCUGAUCCUGCAGUCCGUCCGGUCCGUUCCCUGCCCGGCGGAGUGCGCCCACAUCCUUGGGGCUUACCCCCUCCCACUCUGCCCGAGGCUGGGCGGCUCCCCGCCACCCUGCCUCUACAUCCUGGAGGGAAUCAGGGUCAGAGAUGAAUGGCGGCGGUGCCUGAGAUUUGCCAGAGUGCGUGCCUCUGGAACCUGCAGGAGUUGAGCUUUCUGACCAGGGGGCCUGGUUCAAUGCCUGGUUGGAGAACGAGAUCCUGCAUGCUGCAACUAGAAGACCCUGUAUGCCACAAGGAAGACCCGGUGCAGCCAAAUAAAUACUAGAAAAGAACGAAAUGAUGCUGUGUGCAGCGACGUGGACGCAACUAGAGAUUAUCCUACUAUGUGAACAAGUCGGAGAAAGACAAAUACCACGGGACGUCACUUCUGUGUGGAAUCUACAAUAUGACGAACUGAUCUAUCAAACAGAACCAUGAACAUACAGAACCAAGCGGUGGUUGCCAAGGGGGAAGGGGCUGGGGUUAGCAGAUAUAAG
ensembl:lncRNA